GGUUAAGCGACUAAGCGUACACGGUGGAUGCCCUGGCAGUCAGAGGCGAUGAAGGGCGUGCUAAUCUGCGAUAAGCGCCGGUAAGGUGAUAUGAACCGUUAUAACCGGCGAUACCCGAAUGGGGAAACCCAGUGUGAUUCGUCACACUAUCAUUAACUGAAUCCAUAGGUUAAUGAGGCGAACCGGGGGAACUGAAACAUCUAAGUACCCCGAGGAAAAGAAAUCAACCGAGAUUCCCCCAGUAGCGGCGAGCGAACGGGGAGGAGCCCAGAGCCUGAAUCAGCAUGUGUGUUAGUGGAAGCGUCUGGAAAGGCGCGCGAUACAGGGUGACAGCCCCGUACACAAAAGCGCAUGUGCUGUGAGCUCGAUGAGUAGGGCGGGACACGUGGUAUCCUGUCUGAAUAUGGGGGGACCAUCCUCCAAGGCUAAAUACUCCUGACUGACCGAUAGUGAACCAGUACCGUGAGGGAAAGGCGAAAAGAACCCCGGCGAGGGGAGUGAAAAAGAACCUGAAACCGUGUACGUACAAGCAGUGGGAGCCCCACCACUAAGCCAGUGGUGAACUCCACAUCCGCAUCCUUUGCUGAGGAUACGGUUAACGGAGCGAAAGCGACGUUCAACCGCAAAACAAGCAGAGGGGGCUUAGUGGUGGGGUGACUGCGUACCUUUUGUAUAAUGGGUCAGCGACUUAUAUUCUGUAGCAAGGUUAACCGAAUAGGGGAGCCGGAGGGAAACCGAGUCUUAAUUGGGCGUUAAGUUGCAGGGUAUAGACCCGAAACCCGGUGAUCUAGCCAUGGGCAGGUUGAAGGUUGGGUAACACUAACUGGAGGACCGAACCGACUAAUGUUGAAAAAUUAGCGGAUGACCUGUGGCUGGGGGUGAAAGGCCAAUCAAACCGGGAGAUAGCUGGUUCUCCCCGAAAGCUAUUUAGGUAGCGCCUCGUGAAUUCAUCUCCGGGGGUAGAGCACUGUUUCGGCUAGGGGGCCAUCCCGGCUUACCAACCCGAUGCAAACUGCGAAUACCGGAGAAUGUUAUCACGGGAGACACACGGCGGGUGCUAACGUCCGUCGUGAAGAGGGAAACAACCCAGACCGCCAGCUAAGGUCCCAAAGUCAUGGUUAAGUGGGAAACGAUGUGGGAAGGCCCAGACAGCCAGGAUGUUGGCUUAGAAGCAGCCAUCAUUUAAAGAAAGCGUAAUAGCUCACUGGUCGAGUCGGCCUGCGCGGAAGAUGUAACGGGGCUAAACCAUGCACCGAAGCUGCGGCAGCGACGCUGAUGCGUUGUUGGGUAGGGGAGCGUUCUGUAAGCCUGCGAAGGUGACCUGUGAGGGUUGCUGGAGGUAUCAGAAGUGCGAAUGCUGACAUAAGUAACGAUAAAGCGGGUGAAAAGCCCGCUCGCCGGAAGACCAAGGGUUCCUGUCCAACGUUAAUCGGGGCAGGGUGAGUCGACCCCUAAGGCGAGGCCGAAAGGCGUAGUCGAUGGGAAACGGGUUAAUAUUCCCGUACUUGGUGUUACUGCGAAGGGGGGACGGAGAAGGCUAUGUUGGCCGGGCGACGGUUGUCCCGGUUUAAGCGUGUAGGUGUGUGUUCCAGGUAAAUCCGGUUCACUUUAACACUGAGGCGUGACGACGAGGCACUACGGUGCUGAAGCAACAAAUGCCCUGCUUCCAGGAAAAGCCUCUAAGCAUCAGGUAACACGAAAUCGUACCCCAAACCGACACAGGUGGUCAGGUAGAGAAUACCAAGGCGCUUGAGAGAACUCGGGUGAAGGAACUAGGCAAAAUGGUGCCGUAACUUCGGGAGAAGGCACGCUGACACGUAGGUGAAGUGAUUUACUCAUGGAGCUGAAGUCAGUCGAAGAUACCAGCUGGCUGCAACUGUUUAUUAAAAACACAGCACUGUGCAAACACGAAAGUGGACGUAUACGGUGUGACGCCUGCCCGGUGCCGGAAGGUUAAUUGAUGGGGUCAGCGCAAGCGAAGCUCCUGAUCGAAGCCCCGGUAAACGGCGGCCGUAACUAUAACGGUCCUAAGGUAGCGAAAUUCCUUGUCGGGUAAGUUCCGACCUGCACGAAUGGCGUAAUGAUGGCCAGGCUGUCUCCACCCGAGACUCAGUGAAAUUGAACUCGCUGUGAAGAUGCAGUGUACCCGCGGCAAGACGGAAAGACCCCGUGAACCUUUACUAUAGCUUGACACUGAACAUUGAGCCUUGAUGUGUAGGAUAGGUGGGAGGCUUUGAAGUGUGGACGCCAGUCUGCAUGGAGCCGACCUUGAAAUACCACCCUUUAAUGUUUGAUGUUCUAACGUGGACCCGUAAUCCGGGUUGCGGACAGUGUCUGGUGGGUAGUUUGACUGGGGCGGUCUCCUCCUAAAGAGUAACGGAGGAGCACGAAGGUUGGCUAAUCCUGGUCGGACAUCAGGAGGUUAGUGCAAUGGCAUAAGCCAGCUUGACUGCGAGCGUGACGGCGCGAGCAGGUGCGAAAGCAGGUCAUAGUGAUCCGGUGGUUCUGAAUGGAAGGGCCAUCGCUCAACGGAUAAAAGGUACUCCGGGGAUAACAGGCUGAUACCGCCCAAGAGUUCAUAUCGACGGCGGUGUUUGGCACCUCGAUGUCGGCUCAUCACAUCCUGGGGCUGAAGUAGGUCCCAAGGGUAUGGCUGUUCGCCAUUUAAAGUGGUACGCGAGCUGGGUUUAGAACGUCGUGAGACAGUUCGGUCCCUAUCUGCCGUGGGCGCUGGAGAACUGAGGGGGGCUGCUCCUAGUACGAGAGGACCGGAGUGGACGCAUCACUGGUGUUCGGGUUGUCAUGCCAAUGGCACUGCCCGGUAGCUAAAUGCGGAAGAGAUAAGUGCUGAAAGCAUCUAAGCACGAAACUUGCCCCGAGAUGAGUUCUCCCUGAGACUUUAGGUCUCCUGAAGGAACGUUGAAGACGACGACGUUGAUAGGCCGGGUGUGUAAGCGCAGCGAUGCGUUGAGCUAACCGGUACUAAUGAACCGUGAGGCUUAACCUU
rnacentral:rRNA from 1 species